rnacentral:rRNA from 1 species
GACGAACGCUGGCGGCGUGCCUAAUACAUGCAAGUUGAGCGAUGAAGCUUGGUGCUUGCACCAAUUUGAAGAGCAGCGAACGGGUGAGUAACGCGUGGGGAAUCUGCCUUUGAGCGGGGGACAACAUUUGGAAACGAAUGCUAAUACCGCAUAACAACUUUAAACAUAAGUUUUAAGUUUGAAAGAUGCAAUUGCAUCACUCAAAGAUGAUCCCGCGUUGUAUUAGCUAGUUGGUGAGGUAAAGGCUCACCAAGGCGAUGAUACAUAGCCGACCUGAGAGGGUGAUCCGCCACAUUGGGACUGGGACACGGCCCAAACUCCUACGGGAGGCAGCAGUAGGGAAUCUUCGGACAUGGACGAAAGUCUGACCGAGCAACGCCGCGUGAGUGAAGAAGGUUUUCGGAUCGUAAAACUCUGUUGGUAGAGAAGAGCGUUUGUGAGAGUGGAAAGCUCAUCAAGUGACGGUAACUACCCAGAAAGGGACGGCUAACUACGUG